rnacentral:rRNA from 1 species
AGAGAGAGACAUGCGCGCAUAUCAAUAAGCGGAGGAAAAGAAACUAACAAGGAUUCCCCUAGUAACGGCGAGUGAAGCGGGAAGAGCUCAAAUUUGAAAUCUUAAAGGGUUUCCCUUUACGAAUUGUAGUUUAAAGAAGUGUUUUCUGUUGAGGUUUUGGUAAAAGUUCUUUGGAAUAGGACAUCAUAGAGGGUGAGAAUCCCGUAUUUGACCUUUACUUUCAACUUUGUGAUACACUUUCAAAGAGUCGGAUUGUUUGGGAAUGCAGUCCAAAAUGGGUGGUAAAUUUCAUCUAAAGCUAAAUAUUGGCGAGAGACCGAUAGCGAACAAGUACCGUGAGGGAAAGAUGAAAAGAACUUUGAAAGAGAGUUAAACAGUACGUGAAAUUGUCAAAAGGGAAGCGUUUGACACCAGUGUUGUUUUUCUGAAAAUCAAUUAAAGAACUGUUUAUGCUAAGUUGUUUAGACUUUAUCAGCUAACUGUUUAGUUUUGAGCUUUUCUUUAAUGCACUUUUCAGUUAACAAGUCAACAUCAAUUUCUUUUGCUGUAAAAAAGCUUGAGGAAGGUGGCUUGAGAUUCGUCUUAAGUGUUUAUAGCCUCUUGCCUAUGCAGUCGGAGAGAUUGAGGUCUGCAGCGUAGAUCCUUCGGGGCUAAAUGCAUUUGUGCUAAGUUAUAGCAUUUUAUAGACAACUUGUUGACUAUGAUUUGUCUUGUAGCUUACUCGCUUAUGUUAUUUUACCUACGCUUAGGAUGUUGAGCGCAUGUCUCUCUCU